rnacentral:rRNA from 1 species
UACGGGGGGAGCAAGCGUUGUUCGGAUUUACUGGGCGUAAAGGGCGCGUAGGCGGCCACCGCAAGUCGACUGUGAAAUCUCUGGGCUUAACCCAGAACGGCCAGCUGAUACUGCUUUGCUAGAGUGCAGAAGGGGCAAUCGAAAUUCUUGGUGUAGCGGUGAAAUGCGUAGAUAUCUGGAGGAACACCGGUGGCGAAGGCGGCAUCCUGGACCAAUAUUGACGCUGAGGAGCGAAAGCCGGGGGAGCAAACGGG